rnacentral:ncRNA from 11 species
AAGUAGCUCAGCGGACAAGCGAUCGAGUGUUAAUCGAUUGGUCAAAGGUUCAAAUCCUGUCU